GACGAACGCUGGCGGCGUGCUUAACACAUGCAAGUCGAACGGAAAGGCCCUGCUUUUGUGGGGUGCUCGAGUGGCGAACGGGUGAGUAACACGUGAGUAACCUGCCCUUGACUUUGGGAUAACUUCAGGAAACUGGGGCUAAUACCGGAUAGGAGCUCCUGCUGCAUGGUGGGGGUUGGAAAGUUUCGGCGGUUGGGGAUGGACUCGCGGCUUAUCAGCUUGUUGGUGGGGUAGUGGCUUACCAAGGCUUUGACGGGUAGCCGGCCUGAGAGGGUGACCGGGCCCAAUGGGAAUGAGGUACGGCCCAGGCUCCUACGGGGGGCAGGAGGGGGGAAUAUUGCACAAUGGGGGGAAGCCUUAUGCAGCAACGCCGGGGGCGGGAAGACGGCCUUUGGGUUGUAAACCGCUUUCGCCUGGGACGAAGCGGGAGUGGCGGUAAUGGGUAAAGAAGCACCGGCUAACUACGUG
rnacentral:rRNA from 1 species